AGUUUGAUCCUGGCUCAGGAUGAACGCUGGCGGUAUGCUUAACACAUGCAAGUCGAACGGAUGUUUUCGGACAUUAGUGGCGGACGGGUGAGUAACGCGUGAGAAUCUAGCUUCAGGUUGGGGACAACAGUUGGAAACGACUGCUAAUACCGAAUGUGCCGAAAGGUGAAAGAUUUAUUGCCUGAAGAAGAGCUCGCGUCUGAUUAGCUAGUUGGUGGGGUAAGAGCUUACCAAGGCGACGAUCGGUAGCUGGUCUGAGAGGACGAUCAGCCACACUGGGACUGAGACACGGCCCAGACUCCUACGGGAGGCAGCAGUGGGGAAUUUUCCGCAAUGGGCGAAAGCCUGACGGAGCAAUACCGCGUGAGGGAAGAAGGCUCUUGGGUUGUAAACCUCUUUUCUGAGGGAAGAAAAAAAUGACGGUACCUCAGGAAUCAGCAUCGGCUAACUCCGUGCCAGCAGCCGCGGUAAUACGGAGGAUGCAAGCGUUAUCCGGAAUGAUUGGGCGUAAAGCGUCCGCAGGUGGCAUAUCAAGUUUGCGGUUAAAGGUUCUGGCUCAACCAGAGACAGGCCGUGAAAACUGAUAAGCUAGAGUAUGGUAGGGGCAGAGGGAAUUCCCAGUGUAGCGGUGAAAUGCGUAGAGAUUGGGAAGAACACCGGUGGCGAAAGCGCUCUGCUA
rnacentral:rRNA from 1 species